UACAGAGGGUGCGAGCGUUGUCCGGAAUCACUGGGCGUAAAGGGCGCGUAGGCGGUGACUUAAGCGUGUGGUGAAAGCUCGGGGCUCAACCCCGAGUCGGCCGUGCGAACUGGGUCACUGGAGCAUGUCAGAGGCAGGCGGAAUUCCGGGUGUAGCGGUGAAAUGCGCAGAUAUCAGGAGGAACACCAAUGGCGAAGGCAGCUCGCUGGAACGGUACUGACGCUGAGGCGCGAAAGCGUGGGGAGCGAACAGG
rnacentral:rRNA from 1 species